rnacentral:rRNA from 1 species
ACUAAAUAGAUACCCGGGUAGUCCACGCCCUAAACGAUGUCUACUAGUUGUUGGUGGAGUAAAAUCCAUGAGUAAACGCAGCUAAACGCGUGAAGUAGACCGCCUGGGGAGUACGGUCGCAAGAUUAAAACUCAAAGGAAUUGACGGGGGCCCGCACAAGCGGUGGAUUAUGUGGAUUAAUUUGAUGCAACGCGAAAAACCUUACCUGGCCUUGACAUGCCACCUAACGAAGCAGAGAUGCAUUAGGUGCCCGGUAAGGGAAAGUGGACACAGGUGCUGCAUGGCUGUCGUCAGCUCGUGUCGUGAG